rnacentral:misc_RNA from 1 species
GAACAGGGUGUCAGUUUGUCAACGGGCACAUUCUAAUCUGGCCUUUCGCCCAAGAGAACUUAAAGGACAAUUAUCCUUAUUUGACGAUAUAAAUACCUAAUUGGAUAAGAGCUCAAUUGAGGAAAUACUGUUUCACCCUGAAGUACAAGGUUGCAUGUCAGCAGAGGAGGGAGACAUACAAAACAUGGCGGACCUCGAGAGCAAGGAAGUUACAGGUCCAAGCACCGUAGUUGCAAAAGAAGAGCAACCCCUUCAAACUACCCAAGAGUCUACUGCAUCGGAACCCGCAGUGUCUACUCAUGUAACUAGCUUUGAAUUCAAGGAACAGGCAGUUGUUUCACAAGGCAUGGAGCGGGGCCAUUGGGCCUGUAAUGCAGAGUUUAUUAUGGCCGCGUUGGCCGUCACCACAGAUUACAGUCUCAUUUGGAGGUUCCCCUUUUUGUGUUACAUGAACGGAGGAGUUGUCUUCAUGAUCCUGUACGCCAUCUUUCUCCUUCUGAUCGGAGUCCCCAUCUUCUACAUGGAUCUAAGUCUGGGGCAGUUCUGCGGCAGAGGCCCAGCCCACAUCUGGAACUUCAGUCCACUCCUCAGAGGUGUAGGCGUGGGAAUGGUCGUCGUGAAUGCAGUGAUUCACCCAAUGUAUGGCGUCAUCCCGUCAUGGGGGAUGUACUACCUCUUCCAGUCAGGGUCCACCGCCCUGCCAUGGUCAACCUGCAGUAACUCCUGGAACACCCCAUCAUGCGUCGAAGGUCAAACCCUACCCUUUAAUGCGAGUGGAAACUCCUACGUGUUUGGUAGCCCGUCGACCCCUGGGCUAGAAUACUUUAAUAAUCGAGUCUUGCAAAUUUCCUCUGGAAUCGAAGACCCCGGGGGACUUCAGUGGGAGCUGGUCGGAUGUAGGUUCGGCACCGUGGUUCUCAUAUUUGCUGCUUUGUUCUGGGGAGUUAAGGUUAUUGGAAAGGUGGUGUUCGUCACGGUGCCACUCAUCUUCGUCCUCCUUCUGACACUGUUUAUAAGAGGCAUGACGUUACCCGGAUCACUGGAGGGUAUAAGGUACCUCCUCUAUCCCUCCUUGGGGCGUCUUUUGUACAAAGAGACGUGGAGCUCUGCAUUUCUCAGUGCAAUGUAUACAACAGGGAUGGCAACAGGCAUCAUCAGCACUCUGGCAAGCUACAAACGCUUCACCUCUUCAGCACUGAGAGACUCCUUUAUAGUGUAUGGUGUAACGCUGGGCCUGGGUAUUGUUACCAGUGUUAUGAUGUUUGGCUUCUUCGGGGCUCUUGCACAGAUUAAAGGUGUGGGGAUAAAUGAAGUUGUAGCUUCGGGUCCAGGAGCAGUGUUCGUUGCAAUGGCGGAAAUGAUUGCACAUCUUCCAGUACCCAACUUCUGGAGCUUUAUAUUUUUCUUCAUGCUCCUUUUGAUGGGAGUCAACAUACAGGUCCUUGGUGCAGAGGUUGUAAUAACGGCAGUGCUUGAUAGUUUGCCUCGCCGAUCUCGGCUGAUAAGACUCGCCAUCACCGCAGCCAUCUGUGGCGGUUCCUUCCUCUUAACCCUUCCUUACCUUGCCAAGGGCGGAGUGUACUUUUUCACUAUGGUCGAUGUCAGUGUUAUGAGGCUUUCUUUCUUUAUACUUGGUUUCCUCCAGUUCCUGACAGUCGGAUGGAUAUAUGGUAUGGAUCAGUUUAGCAGAGACAUCAAGAUGAUGACCGGUCUACGACCUCCUGUCGUCUUGAAGUUCAUCUGGUGUUUCGUACUUCCUCUCCUUAUCCUGUUGUUGUUUUUGCUGUCGCUUAUACAACAUUACCGGCUUACUUAUGAAAGCUACAGUUUCCCCGUGUGGGCUGAAGUGAUGGGCUGGUUCAUUUCCCUGCUGCCACUCGCACCGAUUCCAGUGUUUGUUGUGGUCGCGAUCAUUUUUACUGGUAAUCAGCCUCCUAUGAGUCCAAAGCCCGACUGGGGCCCAGCUGACCCAGCCUACCAGGCGGAGUAUGACAGGCAGAGGUCCCGGAACAUAACGCUGACAGAAAGAAUUAUGGCAGUCUUCAGAACCUGAUGUUAUCGUUGGUCUUUGAAACGUGUUUUUCUUCAUUCUGGAUGAACUUAAUUUCUUCAUAAAGACUUCAUAUAUCUAUUUCAAUGAUAAUAUCCAUAAUAUUGCAUGCAAACACAAAAAUAAUCAUAUUUAACACAAAUCUGUAUUAUUUGUUGUGUUAAGUAAACAAUGUUGCCUCAUUCUGUCACGGAUUCUCAAUGUUACUGAAAAGAGUCUGUUAAUUGGAUCAGCUCGUGGGAGUUAUUGUCAAGAAUUAGGAUAUCUCCUGUGCUGUUUGUGGAGGUUUGGGCCAUGUCAGAGCUCGGUCUCCUGUGUUGGUUGUGUUGAUACCUCGAGGCCAUGCCAGAGCUCGGUCUCCUGUGUUGGCUGUUGUGAUACCUCGAGGCCAUACCAGAGCUCGGUCUCCUGUGUUGGUUGUUGUGAUACCUCGAGGCCAUACCAGAGAUCGGUCUCCUGUGUUGGUUGUUGUGAUACCUCGAGGCCAUACCAGAGCUCGGUCUCCUGUGUUGGUUGUUGUGAUACCUCGAGGCCAAGUCAGAGCUCGGUCUCCUGUGUUGGUUGUUGUGAUACCUCGAGGCCAUGCCAGAGCUCGGUCUCCUGUGAUGUAGGUUGUGACACCUCGAGGCCGUGCCAGAGUUCGGUCUUCUGUGUGAGUGCAGGUGAACAGCUUCUCACGCACCACUGAAGUGGAGAAGGGUGUCCUACCUCACCGAGAAUCAAGUGACUACUGAUAAAAUUGAUACAGGCCUGGCUCCUUAACACUCCCCUGUUGAUAAUAUUUCAGAAUGUUCCUGUCAGCUAUUAGGAAAUGUGAUUUGGAACCUGUUACCAGUGUCUCAGGACAGACGAGGACGUAGUAAUGUUUGCUUUUAUAUAAGUUUACAGUAACAACAGGACAUCCACCAUGGAACAUCCACAGCUGUCUGACUAUCGCUUAACUGCGUCAUUUGAUGUGGUAUCCGUAACGUGACAAUGUUUGAAGAUGAUUUGAAUUUUGAGCUGUAGUAUGUCGUGAGCCUAUUGGCGUUGCUGUCUGCUGCUACAAUAACUUAAAUGCAACCAACAGUCAACAUGGGCACUUCAGUAUGAACCUGUAUCCUUUUCUGUCUUACUGUCCAUAGUGUGAUAAAUUACAGGCAUGCAUUCAUAAACACUGUAUGAAUAAACCAUUUCUGUUCUUG